rnacentral:rRNA from 1 species
UACGAAGGGGGCUAGCGUUGCUCGGAAUUAUUGGGCGUAAAGCGCACGUAGGCGGCAUUGCAAGUCGGAUGUGAAAUCCCUCGGCUUAACCAAGGAAGUGCAUCCGAAACUGCAGUGCUUGAGUACUAAGAGGAUCGCGGAAUUCCCGGUGUAGAGGUGAAAUUCGUAGAUAUCGGGAGGAACACCAGUGACGAAGGCGGCGAUCUGGAAAGAUACUGACGCUGAGGUGCGAAAGCGUGGGGAGCAAACAGG